UACGAAGGGGGCUGCGUUGUUCGGAUUUACUGGGCGUAAAGCGCACGUAGGCGGAUCGUUAAGUUGGGGGUGAAAUCCCAGGGCUCAACCCUGGAACUGCCCUCAAUACUGGCGAUCUAGAGUCCGGAAGAGGUGAGUGGAACUCCUAGUGUAGAGGUGGAAGUCGUAGAUAUUAGGAAGAACACCAGUGGCGAAGGCGGCUCACUGGUCCGGUACUGACGCUGAGGUGCGAAAGCGUGGGGAGCAAACAGG
rnacentral:rRNA from 1 species